UACGGAGGGGGGCUAGCGUUAUUCGGAAUUACUGGGCGUAAAGCGCACGUAGGCGGCUUUGUAAGUUAGAGGUGAAAGCCCGGGGCUCAACUCCGGAAUUGCCUUUUAAGACUGCAUCGCUAGAAUUGUGGAGAGGUAAGUGGAAUUCCGAGUGUAGAGGUGAAAUUCGUAGAUAUUCGGAAGAACACCAGUGGCGAAGGCGACUUACUGGACACAUAUUGACGCUGAGGUGCGAAAGCGUGGGGAGCAAACAGG
rnacentral:rRNA from 1 species